rnacentral:tRNA from 1 species
GGGCGUGUGGUCUAGUGGUAUGAUUCUCGCUUUGGGCGACUUCCUGAAUAAACAGGAAGACUAGGCAUGCGAGAGGCCCUGGGUUCAAUUCCCAGCUCGCCCC